UCUAAUCUAAUUCAUUUCGGCUUGAAAGCCUCAGUUAUCUACAGAAGCGGGUAAACAAUCCAGCAUCAGUUAGAAAAGCCACAGCAAAGCCAGGCAGCAGCGAUCAGCAGCUCUGGCGCUGGCUGUAGGAUAAAGGUGAAAUCCUGCUUUUGGUCUCAACAGUUGCCUUGCAAACUGUCUGGAAUUUAGCUUUGGCGUGGAAGAGUUACUCUGUUAAAGCCAGUAGGAGUUACACCAGUUUGGAGUGAAGUUUUCUUUGUGCCUCAGAAGACAUUCCGAGAGAAGAAAGUCAUAUAUCCAGAAUUUGUACAUCAUUGCAGUUGAUCUUUAUCUUUGGGAUGGAGUGUUCACAGUCUUGUCCAGGCAGACUACUCAUCUGGUGACUCAGUUCCUCAUGACGUAUUAGAUCCACUGCAGUUUUUGGCCUUUCAAG